GCAUAUCAAUAAGCGGAGGAAAAGAAACCAACAGGGAUUGCCCUAGUAACGGCGAGUGAACAGGCAAGAGCUCAGAUUUGAAAGGCACUUUUGUGCCGUUGUAUUCUGAAGUUAGGGUCCUGAGAAACGAUGCUUAAGUCUUCUGGAAAGGAGCGCCAUGGAGGGUGAUAGCCCCGUCUAGCAUUGACCUCAUAUAGGAUCUUAACAUGGAGUCGAGUUGUUUGGGAAUGCAGCUCAAAUGGGUGGUAUGCUCCAUCUAAAGCUAAAUAUCUGCGAGAGACCGAUAGUAAACAAGUACUGUGAGGGAAAGAUGAAAAGAACUUUGAAAAGAGAGUGAAAAAGUACGUGAAAUUGUUGAAAUGGAAGGGUAGGCCGCUAACCAUGUAGAGCCGUGUUUGGGGGGAAGAUAAAUGCUGUAGAAUGUAGCUCCUCGGAGUAUUAUAGAUGCAGUUCAUAUUCCCACCCGAGCGCGAGGAUCUCAGGUUCUACUAAAUGGUGGUCUACCACCCGUCUUGAA
rnacentral:rRNA from 1 species